GAGUUUGAUCCUGGCUCAGGAUGAACGCUGGCGGCGUGCUUAACACAUGCAAGUCGAACGAAGCACUUGAGAUUGAAUCUUCGGAUGAGAACUCUUGUGACUGAGUGGCGGACGGGUGAGUAACGCGUGGGUAACCUACCUCAUACAGGGGGAUAACGGUUGGAAACGACCGCUAAUACCGCAUAACCCGCUAGUAUCGCAUGAUACAGACGGAAAAGAUUUAUCGGUGUGAGACGGACCCGCGUCUGAUUAGCCAGUUGGCAGGGUAACGGCCUACCAAAGCAACGAUCAGUAGCCGGCCUGAGAGGGUGAACGGCCACAUUGGGACUGAGACACGGCCCAAACUCCUACGGGAGGCAGCAGUGGGGAAUAUUGCACAAUGGGGGAAACCCUGAUGCAGCGACGCCGCGUGAGUGAGGAAGUAUUUCGGUAUGUAAAGCUCUAUCAGCAGGGAAGAAAAUGACGGUACCUGACUAAGAAGCCCCGGCUAAC
rnacentral:rRNA from 1 species